rnacentral:antisense_RNA from 1 species
UGUAGGAGCGAGCCUGCUCGCGAUGGCGUCGGUACAUUCACUGUCGAUGUCGUCUGACACACUGCUAUCGCGAGCAGGCUCGCUCCUACA